rnacentral:rRNA from 1 species
GGGGGGGGCAAGAGUUUGUUCGGAAUUACUGGGCGUAAAGGGCGCGUAGGCUGUCCCGCAAGUCCUCCGUGAAAUCCCACAGCUCAACUGUGGAAUUGCGAGGGAAACUGCAGGACUUGAGUUCGGGAGAGGAGAGUGGAAUUCCCAGUGUAGCGGUGAAAUGCGUAGAUAUUGGGAGGAACACCGGUGGCGAAGGCGGCUCUCUGGACCGACACUGACGCUGAGGCGCGAAAGCUAGGGGAGCAAACGGGAUUAGAUACCCCGGUAGUCCUAGCCCUAAACGAUGAGCACUUGGUGUGGCGGGUAUCGACCCCCUGCCGUGCCGAAGCUAACGCAUUAAGUGCUCCGCCUGGGGGAGUACGGUCGCAAGGCUG